AGAGUUUGAUCAUGGCUCAGCCUGAACGCUGGCGGCGUGGCUAAGACAUGCAAGUCGUACGGGUGUAGCAAUACACCAGUGGCGAACGGGUGAGUAAUGUAUCGCUAACGUGCCCCCGAGUCAGGGAUAGCUGCCCGAAAGGGCAGGUAAUACCUGAUGAGACCACGAAGAGGCAUCUCUUUGUGCUCAAAGCAGCAAUGCGCUCAGGGAGCGGGCGAUAUCGUAUCAGCUAGUUGGUGAGGUAACGGCUCACCAAGGCGACGACGCGUAGCCGGACUGAGAGGUUGGCCGGCCACAUUGGGACUGAGACACUGCCCAGACUCCUACGGGGGGCUGCAGUAACGAAUCUUCCGCAAUGCACGAAAGUGUGACGGAGCGACGCCGCGUGUGGGACGAAGUCCUUCGGGAUGUAAACCACUGUCAGGGGUUACCAAGUUCUGAGGAGCCCCAGAGGAAGGCACGGCUAACUCUGUGCCAGCAGCCGCGGUAAUAC
rnacentral:rRNA from 1 species